rnacentral:rRNA from 1 species
UUGAACGCUGGCGGCAGGCCUAACACCUUCAAGUCGAGCGGAUGAAGGGAGCUUGCUCCUGGAUUCAGCGGCGGACGGGUGAGUAAUGCCUAGGAAUCUGCCUGGUAGUGGGGGAUAACGUCCGGAAACGGGCGCUAAUACCGCAUACGUCCUGAGGGAGAAAGUGGGGGAUCUUCGGACCUCACGCUAUCAGAUGAGCCUAGGUCGGAUUAGCUAGUUGGUGGGGUAAAGGCCUACCAAGGCGACGAUCCGUAACUGGUCUGAGAGGAUGAUCAGUCACACUGGAACUGAGACACGGUCCAGACUCCUACGGGAGGCAGCAGUGGGGAAUAUUGGACAAUGGGCGAAAGCCUGAUCCAGCCAUGCCGCGUGUGUGAAGAAGGUCUUCGGAUUGUAAAGCACUUUAAGUUGGGAGGAAGGGCAGUAAGUUAAUACCUUGCUGUUUUGACGUUACCAACAGAAUAAGCACCGGCUAACUUCGUG